CCAUUGGAAAGGCACAUGUAAAGUCAGUGCAAUUUAAAAGUGCACACGCCUGUUAGCAAGAUACUGUGUUUAAGAAACAUGUAAAAUAUAUAUAGAUGACUGGAUGACACUUUGUUCCUUCUACCUACAAGGUGAUUUAUAAAUAGCUAGCAUGCAAGGCAAAUAAAAUACAGUUAUUCAUAGAUAUGUAGAUACUUCAACUUUAGUUAGUCCAGAGCAUAUUCGAAAUUAUCAUAUCAUAACAAGAAAGCUUCUGUAAGAUUUUGUUCUAUUUGCUUUUUAAAACUAUUUUGGUUCAUUUUUUAAAAUUUUCCUGUUAUAAAUAGAAAUACGAGGUUUUACAAUACAAGCCUGAUGGGUAUAAAUAUGAACACAUCAGGCUAAUAUAUCAUAUAAAAUAUUAAUUUAAAAGUUUAAAAGAAUAUGUAGUUUGAGUGCCAAUGAGACUAGAUAUCAAAAGUAACAGGAUUAUAAUUUUAUACGCCAGACGCGCGUUUCGUCUACAUAAGACUCAUCAGUGACGCUCAGAUCAAAAUAGUUAAAAAGCCAAAUAAAUACAAAGUUGAAGAGCAUUGAGACAACUGUAUAUUUACGUCCGAAUAUAUACAAUGUACAAUUCAAAUCAUUAUAGGUAAUGCAGCCUUCAAAGCGGAGCCUUGGCUUAUACCGAACAACAAGGUAUAAAGUACCCAAAAAAUGACUGGCGUAAAACAUCGCAAACAUGAAAACCAAUGGUUUCAUCUUUAUUAAAAUGAAAAACGACAAAACACUUAUGAACAAAAUCAACAAACGACAACCUCUGAACAACAGGCUCCGGACAAGUGCCUGGGUUUAAUAUUUUAGUCAAUAUUGCUACACGUGGACAAAAUGAAGGACCCAAUCUAGACUGGUUGUUAAAAAAGAACAAACAAUUGUUUUACAUUGUCUUAUCGGGGCCUAUUAUAGCUGACUAUGUAGUAUGGGCUUUGCUCAUUGUUGAAGGCCGUACGGUGACCUAUAGUUGUUAAUGUCUGUGUAAUUUUGGUCUUUUUUGGAUAGUUGUCUCAUUGGCAAUCAUACCACAUCUUCUUUUUUAUAAAAAUGCUGAACUCUAUCUUGAGACCUAAUUAGAACAGUUGUACAGGUUAUUUUUGGGUUAUGCCAUGUAAAACAGGUUCUAAUCUAGCACCGCCUUAAUGAAAAAAAAAAAACAAAAAAAACCCGUCGUAUUACUAAACUCCUUGUGGCCUAAUUAUCUUUAUUGUGAAAAGAACAUAAAUGCAUGCCCUAUCUAACCAAGGUUAGUAGUUCAUAUAAAGUUGAAUCGGGUUCAGGUUAUAUUAGACAGUAAUUUAAGAACACACAAAAAACCACAAUGCCUCUAACAGGGCAGACCAAAUCUUGAUUUACAUAAGUAAAUAAAAAGUACAAAGUAUAUGUCUACAAAUAUUUAACUAACCUUGAUCUCAUGACUCCUGCAUGUAUUUUUUUCUAUUUGCAGGACAUCAUGGAAAGUUUGAAUGAGGUAAGAAUUUCCUUUUGAAAAGUACGAUUUGCAUGUGACUUACUGUUGUCUUUUUGCACAAAAAGAAAUAUGUAACUAUGUGUUAUUUUGGCAUAAAAACUAGAGGAAUAUAAGAAUGGUUUAGAUGAAUUAAAUUUCAAUCUGUGAAAUAAUAUUGUCAGAAAUACUACAAAAUUAAUAUAUAUAUAUGUUUCUGUUGUCUGUAGAUGUUUUUUUUAAAGGAAAACACUUGAUUACAGAAAUUUUAUUUUGGUAGUCAUUGUACUUGAUAUACAUUCUAGAUAACCCCUAGUUUUUGGUGGGGUUCGUGUUGUUUAUUCUUAAAUUUUCUAUGUUGUGGCAUGUGUACUAUUGUUUGUCUGUUUGUCGUUUUAAUUUUUAGCCAUUGCGUUGUCAGCUUGUUUUAGAUUUAUGAGUUUGACUGUACCUUUGGUAUCUUUAAUCCCUCUUUUAAAUAGCAAACUUGAAAAUUCAAAAAUCAUUAAAAGAGGUCAUAGAUAUAUAAAUAGUAGUACUUAAAACAAUUUCACUAUAGAACUAAUUGCCUUUUUGUGCAGAAUUCAGUUCUAACAAUUCUAAUAUUUACAGAAAUAUGAUAUUUAUAUGUUAUUUACAUAUUCAUGAUAUUGACUAUGAAAGUGUUAUCCGAUUUUUAAUCAAUAUAAUAAAGCGGGAAAUAGCUUUACACCGCUUAAUGUAGAUGUCGCAUUCAAAACUAUCUAGAUAAGUCUUAAAAUAUUUAUGAAAUAUUAAAUAAUUAUUGUUUGUUUAAGGAUAAUAUCUUAUUGUUUUGUGUUUGAAUUAAUCAUUCAUCUGUUAAUAAAACCGUCAAAUACCUUAAACCCUGUUUAAUGUAGAAGUCGCUUUCAAAACUAUCUAGAUAAAUCUUAAACUAUUCAUAAAAUAUCAAAUAAUUAUUGUUUGUUUUAGGAUACUAUCUUAUUGUUUUGUGUUUAAAUUAAUCAUUCAUCUGAUCGAUAAAGAAUACUCAGUACUGUUUAAAAUUUGAUUAAAUAAAAUUUGACAGUAUAAGCAAUUGUGAAAGCACUUUCUAUAUAUAUACAGCUGACGGAACUGAUACACUUUUUUUUUAGUUUGCAUCACUAGGUAAUCAAGUUUGAUCUGAAUUGCAAUUUUAAUCUCGACAGCGUUUAAAAGAUAGAUCAAUGAAUAUUUUUGUCAUUUAACCUCUCUUUGACGGACUCAAAAAGCAUGACAUAUGCAUUGCCAAAUUCCUUCCGACGGCGUCGUAGGCGGAGGUGUCUACAAUAUAUAAGAUUGUUAUUGGAUUUAGUUUAUUGUGAAAUAUUAGUUGUAGGUCAAUGAUACUUGGUAUGCAGUUGUAUUAAUAUUGGCUAAUCUCAUUUCCAUGUGGUAGGGAAAUUCCGUAGUCAAAAGUCGGUUUUAUGAUAAUAGCGAUUGGAUUAGUUUAUGUUGAAUGUUAAGUCAAUGAUAUUUGGUAUGCAAACGUAUAGGCAUUUGCAAGUCGCAUUUCUAUUCAGAUUAUAUAGCCCGGUCCCUCCUCAUGGUUUAUUGACUUUAAACCUUUUAUAUAGUUUACAAGUUAAUGUUUGUAUUAAGUUUUGUUUAAAUGGGACGACUUAUGAUAAGUCAAUGAUCUUUGAUAUGCAGCAAAACUGUUGUAUAAAUAUUGACACAUCUCAUGGAGAUUGGUCAGCCCUGUGCCUGCAGUCAUCGUUCAUGGACUUUCUAUAUGUGAAUUAUUUACAUGUUAAAGUAUUGGUACUUUAAUUUCAACAUUUACAUUAUCAAAAACAUAAAUACAAUGAAAAAGGCGAGACAUAUGUCUUUGUUAACAGUUUAUUAGUCUUUCAUUCAAUGUUGCAUACAGUACGAUGUGCCCGGAAACAGAGGCAGGAUUGCAUACUUUAUAUAAUCGUGUAUGGUGCUAUUAUUAACUUUUACGAAACUCCAGAUUAAAAGUGGUACAGUUUUAGCCGGAAUAGGAGUUCCUCUGGGAAAUUGCAUUGUCUAUGUUUCAAAAUGGCAACUUACAGUUAUACGUUCAAGACAGUAAUGGUUUUGAUUUGCUUACAGAAACUACGUAGGGCUGCUAGGAAUGGAAGAUUGAAAGAUUUGAAAAGAUGUAUACAAAAGGGAGCAGAUUUGGAAUAUAGAGAUAGUGUGAG
rnacentral:lncRNA from 1 species